AUUAUGAGGGGUGUUUGUGCAGUGAAUUUGAAGAUGGAUCAACUAGUUGUUUGAUGGACUGUUGUUUAGAGUUUUGUUCAAUGCUUGUACUGAAAACUGCUGUGACCUGGAUGUAUUUAUGUAAGUUAGGGUCUGCUGCAUAACUGCCAUGCUGCUUCCUUUGAUUGGACUGAUAACAUUGUUGGUACUGUCAUGAUGAUUUGUUGUUGUAAGAUGUCUGUUUGGCUUGCUAUGCGUCAUGGUGAUUUUCCUGGUCAUUGAUGAUAGAAAAUGUUAGUUAGACUAUUGUGCAGAAUGUUGUGUAAUUUGAAAUGGCCAUGUGGAGGUUUAACAUGUGUGCUAUAGGUUUUGCUCAUGGUUUGCAAGUGGUUGGCCCAACCAGUUUGUGCAACUGCAGGAUGAAUUCUUCAUGGCUUGUUCCUAGUUAUGCUGUUAUGGUUGGAUGUUGGCUGCUGAAUUGUUAAUGCAGGCUUGGUGUAUGAAGUGAAGUG
rnacentral:lncRNA from 1 species